UACGGAGGAUGCGAGCGUUAUCCGGAUUUAUUGGGUUUAAAGGGUGCGUAGGCGGCCUGCCAAGUCAGCGGUAAAAUUGCGGGGCUCAACCCCGUACAGCCGUUGAAACUGCCGGGCUCGAGUGGGCGAGAAGUAUGCGGAAUGCGUGGUGUAGCGGUGAAAUGCAUAGAUAUCACGCAGAACCCCGAUUGCGAAGGCAGCAUACCGGCGCCCUACUGACGCUGAGGCACGAAAGUGCGGGGAUCAAACAGG
rnacentral:rRNA from 1 species